rnacentral:rRNA from 1 species
AUUGAACGCUGGCGGCAUGCCUUACACAUGCAAGUCGAACGGUAACAGGUCUUCGGAUGCUGACGAGUGGCGAACGGGUGAGUAAUACAUCGGAACGUGCCUAGUAGUGGGGGAUAACUACUCGAAAGAGUGGCUAAUACCGCAUGAGAUCUACGGAUGAAAGCAGGGGAUCGCAAGACCUUGUGCUACUAGAGCGGCCGAUGGCAGAUUAGGUAGUUGGUGGGAUAAAAGCUUACCAAGCCGACGAUCUGUAGAUGGUCUGAGAGGACGAUCAGCCACACUGAGACUUAGAGAUAGCCCAGACUCAUACGGGAGGCAGCAGUGGGGAAUAUUGGACAAUUGGCGAAAGCCUGAUCCAGCAAUGCCGCGUGCAGGAUGAAGGCCUGCGGGUUGUAAACUGCUUUUGUACGGAACGAAAAGCCCCGAGUUAAUACCCUGGGGUAAUGACGGUACCGGAAGAAUAAGCACCGGCUAACUACGUGCCAGCCGCCGCCGUAA